GCCUAGUACGGCGAGUGAAGCGGCAACAGCUCAAAUUUGAAAUCUGGCUCUUUGGCCCUACUUGUUGUUUGUAGAAGAUACUUUUGAUGCGAUGCCUUCCGACUUCCCCGGAACGGGACGCCCUACAUGGAGAGAGACACGUCUGGUUGGAUGCCGUAUCUCUGUACAUGUCCUUCUCCGACUCCAAUACUUUGUGAAUGCUGCUCUAACUGGGAGGGAUAUGUCUUCUUCUUCUAAAUACCGGCCACAGACCGAUACCGCACAAGUACAGUGAUAGAGAUAUGAAAAUCACUUUGAAUUUAGAGUUAAAAAGUACGUGAAAUUGUUGAUGGGGAAACGUUUAUGACCGCACUUGGACUUGGUUAAUCUUCUGGGGUUCUCCCCCUGGCACUUUUCCUCUCCUGGCCAGCAUCCAUUUUCCCCGGGGGAUAAAGGCGGCGGGAAUGUGGCUCUCUUCUCCUAUUGUUAUGUGCCACCGUGUAAUACCCUGGGGGGGACUGAUGUUCUGACAUCUUCACUGAUGCUGGGAUACUGGUCAUCUGCUACCCGCCCCCUUGAAAAAAAAAAAAAAAAAG
rnacentral:rRNA from 1 species